rnacentral:rRNA from 1 species
UCUGUUUGAUAAUGGCAGAGAGCUAACGCUAUUAACAAGAUGUGAGACAUGCAAGUAGAAUGUAUUAUAAUAAUUAAAUUAUAAAAUUGCGUCCGGGCGAGUAAUAAUAAAGAACCUACCUUAAAAUCCGGUAUUAAAAUAAUUGGAUAAAUAAAAUAAAGCGAUAAUAUUUAUAUAAAUAAGUGUUUUAAGAGGGGCUUUAUUCAGAUUAGUUAGUUGGUAGUUUAAAAGACUAACCAAGACAAUGAUCUGUAGUUGGUAUGAAAGUAUGUACAACCGCACUAGAACUGAAACACGGUCUAGACUUACAUUUGUGAGGCAGCAGUCAAGAGUAUUUCCCAAUGAACGAAAGUUUGAGGAUGCUAUGUUAAAUUUAUUAAUUUUAAAUAAUAAUAGAAUAAAUAUAAUGAAUAUUCUUUUAUGAUGAGAGCAGUCAAAGACAUGUGCCAGAAGACUCGGUUAUGCAUGCUGCUCAAGUGUUGCUCUAUUAUUAAAGGCGUAAAGGGUAAGUAGGUGGAUAUUGAAGUCUUAAUUUAAAUAUUAAAGUUAAAUACUUUAAAAAUAAUUAAGAUACUCUAUAUCUAGAGUUUUAUAGAGGAUUAUAGAAUUUCCAGUGUAUCAAUAAAAUGAAAUAAAAUUGGAAGGAAUACCAAAGGCGAAGGCAAUAAUCUGGGUAAAAACUGACACUGAAUUACGAAAGCUAAGGGAGCAAAUUCGAUUAGAGACCGAAGUAGUCUUAGCUGUAAACUUUGUAUAUUAAGUAUAAGUAUAUUAUAUAUUUGUGCUUUAGAUAACUCGUUAAAUAUACCGCCUGAAUACUACGAUCGCAAGAUUAAAACUCAAAUUAAUAGGCGGUUCUGGAAAUAGAUGGAGGAGCAUGUGGUUUAAUGCGACGAUCCGCGAGAAACCUUACCUAAUUUAGUAUAUAUAUUUUAUAUAUAUUCAGAUGCUGCAUGGCUGUCGUCAGUUCGUGUUUUGAAACGUCUGGUUAAUUCCUUAUAACGAACGCAACCUCUAUUUAAUAUUAUAUUAUAUUAAAAAUUAUCAUUCGAAAAAUGAUUGAAAUAGGAGAUUACGUCAAGUCCUUAUGGCUCUUAUAAUUCUGUCUCUUAUACACAUCUGACGCUGCCGACGAUCUACUCUGU